rnacentral:tRNA from 1 species
UCCUGGGUGGCUCAGUUGGUUGAGCGUCUGACUUCAGCUCAGGUCAUGAUCUCACAGUUUGUGGGUUCAAGCCCCGCGUCGGGCU